UACAGAGGUCUCAAGCGUUGUUCGGAUUCAUUGGGCGUAAAGGGCGCGUAGGCGGCCACCGCAAGUCGACUGUGAAAUCUCCGGGCUUAACCCGGAAAGGUCAGCCGAUACUGCGGGGCUAGAGUGCAGAAGGGGCAACUGGAAUUCUCGGUGUAGCGGUGAAAUGCGUAGAUAUCGAGAGGAACACCUGCGGCGAAGGCGGGUUGCUGGGCUGACUCUGACGCUGAUGCGCGAAAGCUAGGGGAGCGAACGGG
rnacentral:rRNA from 1 species